GUGAGGAAUAUUGGUCAAUGGGCGCGAGCCUGAACCAGCCAAGUAGCGUGAGGGAUGACUGCCCUAUGGGUUGUAAACCUCUUUUGCAGGGGGGUAAAGUGGUUCACGUGUGGACCAUUGCAAGUACCCUGCGAAUAAGGAUCGGCUAACUCCGUGCCAGCAGCCGCGGUAAUACGGAGGAUCCGAGCGUUAUCCGGAUUUAUUGGGUUUAAAGGGAGCGUAGGGGGGGGUUUAAGUCAGGUGUGAAAUGCCGUGCCCCAACCAUGGAACUGCAGUUGAAACUGGACCUCUUGAGAGUACAUAAGGAAGGCGGAAUUCGUGGUGUAGCGGUGAAAUGCAUAGAUAUCACGAAGAACUCCGAUUGCGAAGGCAGCUUUCCGGGGUACAUCUGACGCUGAAGCUCGAAAGUGCGGGAAUCAAACAGGAUUAGAAACCCCGGUAGUCC
rnacentral:rRNA from 1 species